AACCGUAUGAAAUCAGCUUGACUCUUUGGUAAUCAGCCUGGGCUUUGGCCUGGGUGCACUUGCCAGUGAGUUAGCCUGCGACAAUUUGACUUGGGGGAAAAAAUUAGAGAGAAUGUGGCCUUGACUUCGGUGGAGGUGUUAUAGCUCUUUAAAAAAUACCCUGGGUUGGAUUGAGGACUGCAGCAAGCCUUUUGGGAUGAACUGUGGGCGCUUGGUU
rnacentral:rRNA from 1 species